UACGUAGGUGGCAAGCGUUGUCCGGAUUUAUUGGGCUUAAAGGGUGCGUAGGCGGUUUUUUAAGUCAGUGGUGAAAUCUCCCGGCUUAACCGGGAGGGUGGCAUUGAUACUGUAGGACUUGAGUAGAGUUGAGGUUGGCGGAAUUGACGGUGUAGCGGUGAAAUGCUUAGAUAUCGUCAAGAACACCGAUAGUGAAGACAGCUAACUAAGCUCUAACUGACGCUGAGGCACGAAAGUGUGGGGAUCAAACAGG
rnacentral:rRNA from 1 species